GAUGAAGAACGCAGCGAAAUGCGAUAAGUAAUGUGAAUUGCAGAAUUCAGUGAAUCAUCGAAUCUUUGAACGCACAUUGCGCCCGCUAGUAUUCUGGCGGGCAUGCCUGUUCGAGCGUCCUUUGGACCCUCGGGCCCUGCGGUAACAUCCGCCGGGGCCCGGUGUUGGAGACCCGCGGCUGCCGCGGCCUCCCAAAAACAGUGGCGGACCCGUUUGCGGCCCUGGCUUAGUAGUAAAAUCUAGCCUUCGGUUGUUCACGGAGCCUUGCCUCCAGCGCCAACUCUCAAAGUUGGACCUCGAAUCAGGUAGGAAUACCCGCUGAACUUAAGCAUAUCAAUAAGCGGAGGGA
rnacentral:misc_RNA from 1 species